UGGGGGCGGUGGGGGGCGGG
rnacentral:miRNA from 1 species